UCAGCAGCCGCGGUAAUACGUAGGGGGCGAGCGUUGUCCGAAUUUACUGGGCGUAAAGCGCGCGUAGGCGGACUUUUAAGUCGGUGGUGAAAUCUCAGGGCUCAACCCUGAAACUGCCGCCGAAACUGGGAGUCUUGAGGUAUGGAGAGGGAAGUGGAAUUCCUGGUGUAGCGGUGAAAUGCGUAGAUAUCAGGAGGAACACCCGUGGCGAAGGCGGCUUCCUGGCCAUAUCCUGACGCUGAGGUGCGAAAGCUAGGGGAGCGAACGGGAUUAGAUACCCCGGUAGUCCUAGCCGUAAACGAUGGAUACUAGGUGUUAGAGGUAUCGACCCCUCUAGUGCCGCAGCUAACGCAAUAAGUAUCCCGCCUGGGGAGUACGGCCGCAAGGUUGAAACUCAAAGGAAUUGACGGGGGCCCGCACA
rnacentral:rRNA from 1 species